rnacentral:lncRNA from 1 species
GCCCCUUCUCCUCCCUUCUUCUUCUCCAUGCCACACCUCCUCCUUAGAUCAGAUCUAGAAAGAGAGAUUAGAGAGAGAGGAAGAGAAGAAAAAAGUAUUUCUCUUCUCUUCUUGGCAUCCUGUUCAGAUCCCAACAAAUCAGCGCAAAGGGUUCAUGCAACAGGAUUCUUCUUCGAGAUUUAGAAGAAGAAGUCUAGAUCCAAGUUAAGGAGCGAGGCCUACAAGGUGCUAGCACUCCGAUAGCCUCGGUGCUUCGAUCAAGCCAUCUCCAUAUAGAUGUCUGUAGAGAUCGGAUGCUUACGCAGCUACGACAGAAACCUCGGACAUCUGUCGGAUCCG